rnacentral:rRNA from 1 species
GAAAAAGAACCUGAAACCGUGUACGUACAAGCAGUGGGAGCCCCACCACUAAGCCAGUGGUGAACUCCACAUACGCAUCCUUUGCUGAGGAUACGGUUAACGGAGCGAAAGCGACGUUCAACCGCAAAAGAAGCAGAGGGGGCUUAGUGGUGGGGUGACUGCGUACCUUUUGUAUAAUGGGUCAGCGACUUAUAUUCUGUAGCAAGGUUAACCGAAUAGGGGAGCCGGAGGGAAACCGAGUCUUAACCGGGCGUUAAGUUGCAGGGUAUAGACCCGAAACCCGGUGAUCUAGCCAUGGGCAGGUUGAAGGUUGGGUAACACUAACUGGAGGACCGAACCGACUAAUGUUGAAAAAUUAGCGGAUGACCUGUGGCUGGGGGUGAAAGGCCAAUCAAACCGGGAGAUAGCUGGUUCUCCCCGAAAGCUAUUUAGGUAGCGCCUCGUGAAUUCAUCUCCGGGGGUAGAGCACUGUUUCGGCUAGGGGGCCAUCCCGGCUUACCAACCCGAUGCAAACUGCGAAUACCGGAGAAUGUUAUCACGGGAGACACACGGCGGGUGCUAACGUCCGUCGUGAAGAGGGAAACAACCCAGACCGCCAGCUAAGGUCCCAAAGUCAUGGUUAAGUGGGAAACGAUGUGGGAAGGCCCAGACAGCCAGGAUGUUGGCUUAGAAGCAGCCAUCAUUUAAAGAAAGCGUAAUAGCUCACUGGUCGAGUCGGCCUGCGCGGAAGAUGUAACGGGGCUAAACCAUGCACCGAAGCUGCGGCAGCGACGCUUAUGCGU